AAUGUUUGUACCUGCCUAGCAACAGUGUUCUUGUUCCUAAAAGAUUAAUAUGCACAUCUGGCAGAGGAAGGAAAUUAAGUGGAGACCAAAUAACUUUGCCCACCACAGUUGAUUAUUCGUCUGUCCCUAAGCAGUCAGACUGGAGGAGUGGACUUCCUGGGAUGAAGAUGUACCCACAAGUGUAAAAGAUCUAAGGAGGGAAUGGGAAUGUGGCAACGCAGCAGAACUCUUUGGAACAACCGGAACCUGACUAUUUCAAGGACGUUACACCAACUAUACAGAAAACUCAGAAAAUUGUCAUUAAGAAGAGAGAACCAUUAAAU
rnacentral:lncRNA from 1 species